rnacentral:rRNA from 1 species
GAUGAACGCUGGCGGCGUGCCUAAUACAUGCAAGUCGAGCGAACAGACGAGGAGCUUGCUCCUCUGACGUUAGCGGCGGACGGGUGAGUAACACGUGGAUAACCUACCUAUAAGACUGGGAUAACUUCGGGAAACCGGAGCUAAUACCGGAUAAUAUAUUGAACUGCAUGGUUCAAUAGUGAAAGACGGUUUUGCUGUCACUUAUAGCUGCAUCCGCGACGCAUUAGCUAGUUGGUAAGGUAACGGCUUACCAAGGCGACGAUGCGUAGCCGACCUGAGAGGGUGAUCGGCCACACUGGAACUGAGACACGGUCCAGACUCCUACGGGAGGCAGCAGUAGGGAAUCUUCCGCAAUGGGCGAAAGCCUGACGGAGCAACGCCGCGUGAGUGAUGAAGGUCUUCGGAUCGUAAAACUCUGUUAUUAGGGAAGAACAAAUGUGUAAGUAACUAUGCACGUCUUGACGGUACCUAAUCAGAAAGCCACGGCUAACUACGUG